GAUGAACGCUAGCGGCAGGCUUAAUACAUGCAAGUCGAGGGGCAGCAGUUUUGUAGCAAUACAGAAGCUGGCGACCGGCAAACGGGUGCGGAACACGUACGCAACCUUCCUUUAACUGGGAGAUAGCCCACCGAAAGGUGGAUUAAUAUCCCAUAAUAUAACUGAAUGGCAUCAUUUAGCUAUUAAAGCUCCGGCGGUUAAAGAUGGGCGUGCGUCUGAUUAGGUAGUUGGCGGGGUAACGGCCCACCAAGCCUUCGAUCAGUAGCUGAUGUGAGAGCAUGAUCAGCCACACGGGCACUGAGACACGGGCCCGACUCCUACGGGAGGCAGCAGUAAGGAAUAUUGGUCAAUGGACGCAAGUCUGAACCAGCCAUGCCGCGUGGAGGAUGAAGGCCCUCUGGGUUGUAAACUUCUUUUCUUUGGGACGAAACCCCUGUUUCUACGGGGACUGACGGUACCAGAGGAAUAAGCACCGGCUAACUCCGUGCCAGCCGCCGCGGUAAUAC
rnacentral:rRNA from 1 species